CAUCGCUCUUUGAAAUUAAAAAAUAAGGAGUCGAACCUGCCCAGUGAAAAUUUUCAACGGCCGCGGUACUCUGACCGUGCAAAGGUAGCAUAAUCAUUUGCCUUAUAAUUGAAGGCUAGUAUGAAUGGUCUGACGAGAGCAACACUGUCUCCUUUUUAUUUUCUAGAAUUUAACUUUCAGGUGAAGAGGCCUGAAUUUUAUUGAAGGACAAGAAGACCCUGUCGAGCUUAAAAAGUAAGUUAGAAAUUCGCAUAUGGUUUCAAAUAAAAUUCUAUUGUUAUUUUUGGUUGGGGCGACCAAGGAACAAAAAAAGCUUCCUUAUUUCUUUUAACCUAUAUGUUUUGAUCCAGCUAAAGCUGAUUAAAAAAAUUAGUUACCGCAGGGAUAACAGCAUAAUCUCUCUUAAGAGACCUAAUCGAAAGAGGGGGUUGUGACCUCGAUGUUGGACUAGAAUAUCCUAAAGAUGCAGAAGUCUUUAAAGGUUGGUCUGUUCGACCAUUAAAAUUCUAC
rnacentral:rRNA from 1 species